rnacentral:rRNA from 1 species
AUGGCCAAAUUCUGGUGGGGGAGCUCACUGGAUAAAAAAUCUCUUCAUUGGAUCGCUUGGGAUAAGUUAGCUACACCAAAAAUUAAGGGCGAGAUGGGAUUCCGUGACUUACGACAGUUCAACUUGGCACUCUUAGGGAAGCACGGGUGGAGAUUAAUGACAGAUCCUCACUCCUUAUGUGCUAGACUUCUAAAAAGCAGUUAUUUUCAUGAUACAGACUUCAUGCAUGCCACUAUUCCGAAGUCUGCUUCAACCACAUGGAGAGCGAUCAUAGCCGGCCGUGAAGCACUCAAUGUGGGAUUGGUGAAAAGAGUUGGUGAUGGAGCAUCCAUCUCACUUUGGGAGGACAAAUGGAUACACACUACAGUAACAAUGUCGUCAAUAUUCAAACCGGCUAAUACACAUGUUCAGAUAGUAAGUGACUUGAUUGAUACAUCAAGUUGGACAUGGAACCGGUAA